UGGUGCUCCAUAGAAUUUUAUGAAGGCUGAGAAACACCUAUGCAGUUCCCCGGGCGUGUGGAUGUAGCCUUGCUAUAAUAGUGAAAGCGGUGCCACGCCGCUUAAUGGUGCGUCGAUUCCCGAGCUGCCAAUUUGCCCACCAUCUCUCAUUUCCUCUUUUUCGGUCGCCAACCCGCCUUCACCACGUCGUGCCGCUUCUUGGGUGACGAUGUAGAGGCGGCCGUGAAUGGCGCCGCUGUCGAGGUCGGCCGAAAUUUGGACGGAGCAAGCUGCUGCUGAAUGCAGCUGGGCCGGAUGCGUCGAGCGGCGGCUGCCGCAGAAGUCAGCAGGUAGCGCGGUGCCUCUUCUUUCCAAAACGAGGGCCUCCUCUCUCAGUUGGCCGUCUCGCCUGUGGUUGUCUCCAUGGCGGUACCAUCAAUCAUCAAGAUGUGCCGCUAGGGCCAGAGGCCACUUCUCUCCCUCUGCCGUGUGCGCAGCUAUCAGCUUGCUGCACCCUCCUCUCUCUCUCUCUCCCGAGACGGCUGGUGGCGUGGAGAAGGAUCUCGAACGUCUCCUUUCCUUCUCGAGGUGGCUGGCGGCGAGGUUGAGGAAUGAUGGCCCGGUGCCCUCCUCUUCUUCUUGACCUGUGCGGCCAUCCCCGUGGCCAAUUCUCUCUCAAGUGGAGGACGUGUGGGUGGUCGCCGGCAGAGCAGACGAACUGGAGUGGGGGCGGCGCUCAAGCCUCCUCCUCUCACCGACACGGGCGCCCUCCCCCCUCUCUCCCUCUCUCCCUGGCUGUCGUGGGAGCCCCUCAGAUCCUGUUGGCUCAGGACCGGAAGCGGGAAGGAGAUUCUCACUUGGUCUGUGUGGCCUAAAGCAAUUCAUCCAACGGACAACCCAUAUGCUUAGCAUGCAGUGCAUCUGAGAUUUCUUCUUGCUAGCCUGGAUAUAUUAUGGCUGCUGAGAGUGGUCUGAUGAUCUGAAUUUUUUUCGCUGUAAGAUUCCGCAAUUACAUAUUGGAGCUCACUGUAUAGUCAAACAUGGACUGAACUGGGUGUUCGAGGAACUGAACAUUCAAAAUUAACGUUCAUAAGCUUAAGGCACCAACAUUAGUGCAGCCCGGUUGACCCAUAAGUUCUUACAGUUUCAAGGUGUUUCUUUGAAGGUCUUGGCGGCAUUCUAGAUGGUGUUGCCGGCGUGGCUAGGCCUCUUCUAGGCGCAGAAGGCGAGCCGGGACCUGGUACCUGGAGGCCGCGGCAAGGGGCGCAUACAUCCUUCUGGACAUUGUCAACCGGUGGAGCAGGUCGUGGGUGAGGCCGUCAGGAGGAGCAUGCUGCAGUUGCGCUUAUUAGAUUCUCUGUCCAGGGCUUCUCCCCACCACUGGUCCUUGCUUUCCCCACCGACGGCUUCUCCAUUUGCUGUUCCGUUGAUGGCUGCUCCCGCUGUUCUAGAUAGUUGGAGAUGUUCUUGAUCUGAUGUGUUUAAUCUAAGUGUCGAGGCAUGAACACAUACCAAUGUUGGUUUUCUGAAAUAUUUAAUUUAUUUUGGCUUGACUAGCACUUGGAUUUCAAACGAGGACGGAGUUGUUUUUCUUUUGGCAUUGGUCUAAUUUUUUUGCCAUGUUUGGCUGUGACUGCAAUUGCUUUGAUGGACCAGGUAGGAUAUUGCCCUGUUAAACAAAAUUCUAGGAAUGUACGCAGCUGUUGAGAUGUGCUACCGCAUAAAAAAUAUUGUAUGUUCCAAGCUGUUGAUUUAUCAAGUUUGUUUAUCUAGCUAUGGUGUGGACUAUCUGUCGAUGAAUCUUAACUUUAACACAUACUAUUCGGUUUGCAUCAAGGAUAUAUAAUUUUCCUGAAACUGAAUUUUUUUUGUUAACUGAAACUCUUACAGUCUUACUCAUAUACAGUUUUAGUUAAAACCACGGAAGUAACUGAUCCUCAAAAAGCUGAGUGCGAAACAACACAAGUAACUAAUUGGCAAUUGUUUUGUUUAUACAUAGGUCGGUGCUCUUACUUGGGCAGUACCACCUACUGGCAGUAGAUUAGUAAUGGAUGGAUACACAUGCACAGGUCACCCGCUAUCUCAGGUAUUUUCUCCAAAUCCAUUCAUGAAAAUGGGUGUUAGGUAUCUGCAUGUUAUGUACAUUUCUGACUAUGUGAGCAAACUGUCCCCAGCUACUUCUGUUGGCUCGAACCGUUUGUCCAGCUGCUACUUCUGCCCGUUGUCGAGCCAUUUUCUCUUGACGAGAGCAUGCUGGUUUAGCCUGUGAUUUUUCUGUUGACAUGGACGCUUGGAGGCUUGCAAUUCAUCUUGGCUUAUUGGAUUUCUUUGGUCUUUCUUAAAGGUGAUCGGUCUUAGUAAUUCUACUGAUUAAUCUUCGGAUCUGCAGGCUGGCUCUGUUUAUUGUCCUUUUUCAGGCUGCUCUUCUUCAGGUUCAGGUCCUACAUCAGACAAUGGGUGUUGUCAUGUUCUCUUUCUUGAUGCACUCGUGGUUCAGAUUUGAAUAUGGGGUACACAUAUAAAUAUGUAUGUUCUUGGAAGGGACUCUAUGCUAUUGAUACUAUACUGCUUAUCAACUUGAUCUCACACUACGCCCUCAAUGUUUGAGUUGAAAGGUCAAUUAUCAAGUGGCAUACAAGACCUACUGUGAGGGCGAGAUUCAGCACAGAAAAAGAAGUACAGGACCAAUACAGUUUUCGAUCCAACAGUGUUUAGCCUUCCCUUAAGUUUGUAGUUCUUGCUUUGGAUAUUGGGUUACUAUCGAAGAAAUCUUCUGCUAUUUUGAAUAAAUCGGCAUGCACUUUCUUUUUCUGAAAUCUCUAUGUGUCAUCAGUAAAUAGGGUGAAGGUCAUAAUGCAUAUUGCUUGGGUAAACAAGAAUUGGAUUGGUGGAACAAAUAUUACCUAUGAACACUGUUUGAAAAGAUGGGAUUGCAUAACAAGAAAAUGUGUAGACAACUUAUCAUGUCUUUUUAUCGCUUUCAUAUAUAUGACAUUUUUUUUCCAGAUAACCGUCUUUGUCUUAUCCACUUAAAUUGGCAGGGUAAUCUGCGUUCUUGCUUUGAAGGGCGGGCCUGGUGCAGCGGUAGAGCCUCACCGCCUGUGACCGAGAGGUCCCAGGUUCGAGUCGCGGUCUCCUCACAUUGCACUUCGUGAGGGUAAGGCUUGCCACUAACACCUUCCCCAGACCCCGCACAGUGCGGGAGCUCUCAGCACUGGGUACGUCCUUUUAAUGUGCGUUCUUGCUUUGUAUCCCUAGAUUGACUCUUCAACCUUAGCCAUUUUUUGAAACUCCAAAAGGAGACUCCCGUGCGCCAAUUUUAUUUUUCAUAUACAAUUCAUGGUAAUUUAGAGGAUGAGAUGCAUGUUUCUGAUACGUGUAAUCAGAUAGAUUAAUUGUUACCAAAUUAGGUUGUUUGAUGCCUGAAAACCAAUUUCUGUAUUCUGUAGCACGUAGUGGUGUAGGACUAUUUGCCAGACAUUAUUGCUGGUUCUUUUUUUAUUGGAUCAGGCAUGGAAGUUAAAUUGCAUUUUUUUUAAUCUGUAAAAUUGUUUGUUCUUUUUUUAGUAUCCAAUAUGUCACAGACCGCUCGAUAGAUAGAUGGGCUCUCACGAAUUCAUAGGUUACAAUCCCCAGCAUCUUGUCGGGAGGAUCGAAUCCAGAUGAACUCACGAGUUCAUCGGAAGGGGGAGAAAGAGAAGUCUCAACCACUCGGGUUGUUUACAGGAGAAUAGUUCUGACUGCUUUCCCCAUCCUCGCUUUGCUGUCUUCAUGGUGCGGCAUUUUUAUCACGAGAAAUUUCUGGACCCUUAUGAUGUGUGCUCACAUGAACUUCGUGUUCUCUUCUUUUACCUCUGCCAUUGAAUUGUUCGCUUAUUACAUUCCUUUAUUAAAAAUUAGAAUGCUCAUAUAGUGCAUUAUGUUUGCCUUGAGCAAGUAGCAUGACAGCCGUUUGUGGAAUUAAACUUGGUGCCUUGCUUUCUGUACCUUUUUGUUUAAUGGAUGAACUACUAAUUUCUUAUUUGCUUUAUAUGUUCCAAAUGCGGACAUUAAGAGAAUUUUCAUAUAUAUGCUUAAUUGCAGAAUUUCUUCGCACUUGUGUAUUCUGAUGCUUUCGGUUUAGAAGAAACUUAUAUAUUUCAGUACCGACCUUGAUCCAUUUAUUUUGUUAAGCGCUGCCACCAACUACUCAAACACGAAGUACCAAAAAUAUUCUCUUAUUUUCUUGGUCAAAGGAAGUUCCAGAAUUGCCUUUUUAGACUAUAUAUGUAGGUAAUUGGUUCGAUCUUGUUUCAUUUUUUGCUAGGUUUCAUUGGUUUAUCAUUGAAUGAUAACUGGUAGGAGAUCAAGGUAUGGAAGAAGACUCUUGAAUUUGUGGGAUAACAUAAGUGAGGGACCUGUUCAAAUAACAGAGGAAACUGUAGCGUACAAAAUUCACUAUGAACUGCAUUUAUCCGCAGGAUCAUUCACACACUAUUUUACCUAUCCUGUGUGACCCUUCAAUCCUGAAAAAUUAUUUGUCCUGAACUCCACCUUGGCGUCUGGCCGUCGCAACCACCUAAUUCCAUCUCCAUCAAAGUAAAGCUAGCUCAACCACAGCAAAUAGAAGUAUAUGUGUCGCUGAAAUGACCAAAGUAAUUGUUCCCGAGACAUGCUAUAAUAUGGAGUACCUCCAUAUCCAUGAUAUUGAGAAAUGCAAUUGACUUGAAAAGGUUGCUGAACUUUUGAAGGACAUCCAAGCGGGUUUGCUUAAGAGUGUUUCCGCAGUAUGUUUCACUUCCUUCAUUACCUUGGUAGUCAAAAUGUCUUCUAAUGGUAAAAUAGGAAACCAAUACUGAUAAUUAAUUUGUAGAUGCAAUGAUGUUUCACCAUUCGGUUUUACAAAGUUGAACCUAUAAAAAAAACUAGAGUGAUGAUACAUAAAAGGGAUAUUGACGAGCUCCACCUGAAGUGCUCGCGGAUAGAGUCUGAAUAUUUAGAAAGUCAGCUUUUCUUUUAUUUUGCCAUAGUAUCUUGCCGAAGUUGAUCACGUGCACAUUAGAUAUUACCAACAAUAGUCCACCAUAGAUGAGGCAAGUGCGCAACUAUGGGUUUCACUGCUUUGUUUGUAAACUUUACAGACUGUUCAUAUAUGGCAAGAUAGUAAGGAUGGAAGCUAUAGCUUCAGGCACACGAUGGAAGAUCAUGGCGGAGAGUUUGAUAAUUUUCUUUUUUGCAUUCAUACAUUUAGAACGCACAAAACUUAUUACUUCUUUGUCAACAUUAUUAUGAUGGGGGAUAAAAUAGCAUCUAAUCUAGAGCAGACGGUCCAGGAAGUGCCAGAGCUUGGAGAGAAUAUAUGGAUGCUAUCCUAUAUAACGAGUAUAUGACGAUUGAAAACAAAUAAUUAGCCACAUCUGUAUCAAGUCGUUAGCCAAUGGUAGCCCAUUCUGUAAUAUAACUUGAUGGUCUCUGGGUUUUUUUCUCAGAAGAAUUGUGAGCCUGUUUCUUCUUAUGUUGUUAAUAGUGAGAUGGUAUUCGAUCCUUAAUUUGUUUGGGUUAUAGAGCCAUUGCCAUCACACGGGUCAUUGAUGCCACUGAUCGGGCGAGAACUUAGAAGCUUACCACGGCAACUAAGUGCCGGCUUCACCGACGGUUACAAAUGUUGAGCAUCUGACGAAGGAAACAUUAGUCCUCAUAGUUAUUGCGAUGGCGGUUAUGGCCGCCCCAGGGUAACAUGUCAUUCAUUCGUUUGAUAGCUGGCUCCAAAGGAUGCAUACACUGUGAUACGGGGCGACCUUCGGUCUUCACCGCAUCAUGUGCUUCAUCGCCAAGACGGCACGCUAAGGUGAAUCUUCUCCUUUACGCGUGCCUCGAAUCGCCUAUUUGGGACGAUAUACUACUUCAUACCCCGUCAUAUCUUGAUGAUAGGAACUCGACGACAAGUACGGGGAGAAGAGAGGAUGCCAUGGAGACCCGAGGAUGCAAGACCGAUGUCACGGAAGCAUGGAAGA